rnacentral:lncRNA from 13 species
GAUUUUCAAGCAUCCUAAAAAUAAAGAAAUCCAAUUCUAUUAAUCACAGAGUAAUAUGGUGUAUUUUUCUUUCCUUUUUUUUUUUUUUUUUCCUUUAUUAAGAGAAGAAAAUUUUGUCCAGGGAGGAGGUAAGGCCUUUUUUUUUUUUUCAAUAGAGAGACAUUGGCAACAUGAUCAAAAAGCCAAAACUUCAUAGGUUGCAUGUGCAAUAAUCAGCCUGUGCCGGGGGGGAGGGAAGAGUGAGCCAAAUGAUGUCAUGUUGUCGCACCUACCACCAUCACUGUUCGGUUUCACUUCAGGAAAAGUCAGGGUAUAAAUUCCCAGGCCCCUGGAAUGAUGAGGAAGUUGCUUCAUCAUGUUGGAGUGGGGUUAGAGGAAAAUGAAGAACUGGUCAAAAAAUAUCUCCAGAUGACCUUGAACAUCAGCUGCUCUCUUUCUACUCAAAGUUUAAUUCCUUGAACAUGGCAGCUGCUACUUUUGUUUCGAUUUACUUUUCAUUCAUAAACUCUCUCUCUAAACAUAUAGAACAUUGAGUAUUGUCUAUGAUGUGAAAUAGGCAGUUCCCUUAUUUAGAGCCAAUUCAACAUCAGUUGGUUUCGCGUUUCAGAAACCUGUGUCAGAUGUUGAGAGAACGGAAGACAAGUUAACAGUAACAAUGGGCCGGGCGCGGUGGCUCAAGCCUGUAAUCCCAGCACUUUGGGAGGCCGAGGUGGGUGGAUCACGAGGUCAACAGAUCGAGACCAUCCUGGUCAACAUGGUGAAACCCCGCCUCUACUAAAAAAUACAAAAAAUUAGCUGGGCAUGGUGGUGCGUGCCUGUAAUCCCAGCUACUCAGGAGGCUGAGGCAGGAGAAUUGCCUGAACCCAGGAGGCAGAUGUUGCGGUGAGCCAAGGUCGCGCCAUUGCACUCCAGCCUGGGUAACAAGAGCGAAACUCCGUCACAAAAAAAAAACAAUAACAAUGAAAGGUUCAUGUCGCAGAGUGGAUCAGAGUCUGGGGAGGGACUCACAUCAAAGUCCAACUGGGGAACAGGCAAUAGACAAGAGGUCAAGGAGGUGCCCCAAAGCAGGAGAAUUUUCACCUGCUGGGGAAGAAUGAGUAGGGCUUUGCUUCGUGGAAGAUGUGAGAAGAGCACUCAGAGUGGAAGUACUGGCCUCAGCCAAGAGCAGGCGGCUGAAGCAAGCUUGGCAAGAACCAACAAGGACAUGAACCAAGGAGAUGGCAGUGGGAAUGGAGACAAUGGAUCCCCAGUUGUGUGA